UGAAUACGAGAUGCUACGGCGUCGAAGCAGUCUAUGUCAUACUUCCAAGAAAAGCUCGCACUGUCAUAAACAAAUAAUGCCUGUACCAUAACCGACACAGGUGGGUAGGUAGAGUAUACUAAGGGGCGCGAGAUAACUCUCUCUAAGGAACUCGGCAAAAUGACUCCGUAACUUCGGGAGAAGGAGUGCCUUAUUUAUAAGGUUGCAAUAACAAGAUCCAAGCAACUGUUUAUCAAAAACACAGGUCUCCGCUAAGUCGUAAGACGAUGUAUGGGGGCUGACGCCUGCCCAGUGCCAGAAGGUUAAAGAAGUUGGUUAGCAUUCGCGAAGCUGAUAACUGAAGCCCUGGUGAACGGCGGCCGUAACAAUAACGGUCCUAAGGUAGCGAAAUUCCUUGUCGGGUAAGUUCCGACCCGCACGAAAGGCGUAAUGAUUUGGAUACUGUCUCGGAGAGGGGCUCGGUGAAAUAGACUUGUCUGUGAAGAUGCGGACUACCUGCACCAGGACAGAAAGACCCUAUGAAGCUUUACUGUAACUUGAGAUUGAAAUUGGACUUUACUUGCGCAGUAUGGGUGGGAGGCGUUGAUAAUAUUCUUGCGGGAUUAUUUGAGCCAUCAGUGAGAUACCACUCUUGUAAUGUUAGAUUUCUAACUUUGUAUCAUUAUCUGGUCAAAGGACAGUUUCAGGCGGGCAGUUUGACUGGGGCGGUCGCCUCCUAAACGGUAACGGAGGCGCACAAAGGUUUCCUCUGAACGGGUAGAAAUCGUAUCUAGAGUGUAAAGGCAUAAGGAAGCUUGACUGUGAGACCUACAAGUCGAGCAGGGACGAAAGUCGGUCUUAGUGAUCUGACGGUGCUGAGUGGAAAGGCCGUCACUCAACGGAUAAAAGUUACUCUAAGGAUAACAGGCUGAUCUCCCCCAAGAGUUCACAUCGACGGGGAGGUUUGGCACCUCGAUGUCGGCUCAUCGCAUCCUGGGGCGGUAGUACGUCCCAAGGGUUGGGCUGUUCGCCCAUGAAAGCGGUACGCGAGCUGGGUUCAGAACGUCGUGAGACAGUUCGGUCCAUAUCCGGUGUAGGCGUUAGAAUAUUGAGAGGAGCCUUCUUUAGUACGAGAGGACCGAGAAGGACAUACCUCUGGUGUACCAGUUAUCGUGCCAACGGUAAACGCUGGGUAGCUAUGUAUGGAGUGGAUAACCGCUGAAAGCAUCUAAGUGGGAAGCCCACCUCAAGAUAAG
rnacentral:rRNA from 1 species